rnacentral:rRNA from 2 species
GUCUGCAGCCAUACCACCCUGAACACGCCUGAUCUCAUCUGAUCUCAGAAGCUAAGCAGGGUCGGGCCUGGUUAGUACUUGGAUGGGAGAAAUUACAAGAUUAAAAAGUAAUCGUGAGUA